rnacentral:rRNA from 1 species
GCGAGGUUUAGCAAAUCUCUUAAAGCCGUUCUCAGUUCGGAUUGUAGGCUGCAACUCGCCUACAUGAAGUCGGAAUCGCUAGUAAUCGCGGAUCAGCAUGCCGCGGUGAAUACGUUCCCGGGCCUUGUACACACCGCCCGUCACACCAUGAGAGUUUGUAACACCCAAAGCCGGUGGGGUAACCUUUUGGAGCCAGCCGUCUAAGGUGGGACAGAUGAUUGGGGUGAAGUCGUAACAAGGUAGC